rnacentral:rRNA from 1 species
GACGAACGCUGGCGGCGUGCUUAACACAUGCAAGUCGAACGGAAAGGCCCUGCUUUUGUGGGGUGCUCGAGUGGCGAACGGGUGAGUAACACGUGCGUAACCUGCCCUUGACUUUGGUAUAACUUCCGGAAACUGGUGCUAAUACCGGAUACGUGCUCCUGCUGCAUGGUGGGGGUUGGAAAGUUUCGGCGGGUGGGGAUGGACUCGCGGCUUAUCAGCUUGUUGGUGGGGUAGUGGCUUACCAAGGCUUUGACGGGUAGCCGGCCUGAGAGGGUGACCGGCCACACUGGGACUGAGAUACGGCCCAGACUCCUACGGGAGGCAGCAGUGGGGAAUAUUGCACAAUGGGCGGAAGCCUGAUGCAGCAACGCCGCGUGAGGGAUGACGGCCUUCGGGUUGUAAACCGCUUUCGCCUGGGACGAAGCGUGAGUGACGGUACUGGGUAAAGAAGCACCGGCUAACUACGUG